CCUGUUAUUUGCCUGUGCAUUUGUAGGAAGCUCAGAAACCUCUCCGGCUUGCUCCCUCAGAUGGUGUCUCAGCUGGGUCAUCUGGAUAUCUAACAGACUGCACUUAGACUAUGCUGUUGAAUUGCACCAGACCCUUUCCACCUAGGAUGUCCAAAAUGCCACCAAUGAAAGUUCCCACAAAAGCCCAGGAACAAAUAAAAAUUAGCCAGUUAAGAAAAUAUGUCUAAAAUUUAGCUAAACAGUAUAAUACAAAACUUCUAUAAAAUACAGAAGAAUUAUUAGGUCA